UAAAAGAAAAGAGUGCCAGAGAAAAUGUCCCCGCAUAUACCCAUUACGACUCAGGCUGCAAAGCCCACAUCAUUGCCUUCUCUUUUAUCUCCGAUUCGCAGUAAUGCUGGACUCAGGGCACCAUCCGAUCGUUUUUCUCUGAAAUCGUCCUUCUUUUCUCCUUCGCUCCACCUCUUACUUGCUUCUAAUCAACAUCAGCAACCUCUUGCAUCUUCAGCUCCAAGAUUCUCCAUGCCUGUUGCCUCCAAGCAAGCCUAUAUUUGUCGCGAUUGCGAGUGCUUAUUUUCUUUGAUGAGUUGUUGGCUGUUUCGUGAUUUAAUUCUGUUCUUUGCAAAAUUUAAUAGAUGAAUAGACUGUAAAUUGGUAUAACUCUGGUGAUUGUAGGUAUAUUUACAAUGAAAGGACUCCCUUCGAGAAACUGCCUGACAGUUUGUGGUGCUCCUAAAAGGAGAUUUAGGCCAUAUGCACCAUCUGUGACCAAAAAUGCUAAUGAAACAGAUGUUAGAAAAGCCCGCAAAGCGCAAAUCCAGAGAGAUGAAGCAAUUGGGUGAGCAUUGCCAAUUGCAAUUAGAGUCGGAGUUGCGGCCCUUGCGGGUUUAUAUUUCUACCUCAAUAGCACAUUCCAAGGUUGAACGGCAGCAAUUCCACAUAGGAACUAUGGUACUAGAGUGUUAACAGGUGAAUGCUUAAGUUCAUAGAGUAGAGCAGUUCUUGUAAUUUUAUUCCAUUUAGGGAACGCCUAUACAAUGUUAUUCUUUUCUUCCAUCCUAAGAUUGAGAAAUGUAAUCUUUUAAUUAUCUUGAGCUAUACUGAAAAUCUAGGAAUUUUAAGAGCUGCAAGUUGAUAAA